AGUCGCACCAUUUAUAGCUGGAAUGCGGCAAUUUCAUUCCAAGUUACCGAUGAUAAUUUUUGGAGUAAGUACAAUUAUUGCUGGGGUUCUUGCAUUUUUAUUACCGGAAACUAAUAAUAGAGAACUUCCAGAAAAUAUAGAUGAAGCAGAAAAAUUGAAAAGCCGCGAUUCUGGCGAUGAGAGAUCUCAAAUUGAUUCGCAAGACGAUGAAGAAAGAUUAAGACUUUUAGCUGGAUAAUGUUGUUUUGUGGUGAAUAAAAUGAAUAAUAUUUAAAAGAUUUUAAUACAAGUCAAGCACGUCCUUAAUAAGGAAGAUUUACAUGUACAUAUUUGUUUCAAAUGAAUGUGUAAAAGGCUUU